AAAAACGAGUUGAGGAUAAAGUUAGAAGCAUUUAAAAAUAGUCAAGUCAUGCAAUAUCGCGAAAAUACAACUGCACCUACCGAAAGUGAAGAGGAGCUUGACUUCAGUUUUACAGAGAAACUUACACCGAACACAAAGGCUAGAUAUAACAACCUGACUCCAAGAAAA